GUAAGUAGGACAACGUCUUGUGUGGCUUUUAGAAAGACAAGAAACUAGAAAUAAAUCAUUGCAGGUAGUGAUGAAUGCCAUGAAGGAGGAAGCCAGGAGCUGGGGAGGGCAUCAUAGCAGAGCGUUGGCUGUAAGGCUCAGUGAAUGUCCUAAGUCCUCCUGGUCUCUUCCCCACCUGGUCUCUUCCCCACCCCACCCCUGGUACCCUGGUACCAGGCCCUGGUUCUGGCAGGACCUCCUACCUCCAAGUCAGGUUUCAUGGCACACCUUCCGUCCAGGGUGGCCCCCACUCCUCAGCUCCCAGCUCCCUCUCCUCGAGGCCUGCAUCCUGGCACCCUCUCAGUCCUGGCCCUCAUUGUCUUGUCCAGCCCCUGCCCCCUGCCUUUGCAUCAGGGCAUGGUCAUACCCAUGCCACGCUCCUGACGGGGUGUGCGACUCACUCGAGACUCGGGGCUUAUUGUUUCUCUCCUCUGAGCCUGACAUUGCUCACCUGGAGAUUGAGGACCGUACAAUAUGAGGCCUGGAAGGACUGAGUGACGUGAUGUAAGUAAAGCCCUCCCACGGUGCUGGCUCGAGAAAUGGCAUCUCUUCCCUCAGCAGAUACUAGAAUGAUCAGCAUAACCCUUUUGUUGGAAGAGUGUAGCUGUUUACAAAAUGCCUUUAUAAGUGUCUGGUACUCAUUGGUUUAGGGGGCAGAUGGGGGUCUCGGAGCACACUGGGUUGAGGCCCAGGCGAGGAGGCUGGGGCGGGGUCCUAGCCCUGCAUGCAGCCCCUGGGCACCUUGGGCAAGUCCCUUCCUUCUCCAGGACUCAAGUCUUCCUUCGCGAUGACAGAUGUCUGAGGGCCCUUCUGAAAUGGCCACUGGGAUGCUGGGGCCAUUCAUGCUGGGAGAGCCCCAGGAGCAGCCUCAACUGAGGAGGGAGGAGGUCCUCUGCAUGGUGCUACCACAGGAACCAGCUCAUCACACAGCUCUUCCGCAACCUGCUUCUGUGUCCUGGCUUUUGAGGACUUCUCUUCUGGAGAGCACUGUUGUUUUCUCAGUCUCAGCCCCAGCUCCUGUCCCCCUUAGGGCCUGGCACAAAAGCCCCCAGGCCUGGUGCCUCUCUUCACCAGGUUGGAAGCCCAGACCAAG
rnacentral:lncRNA from 1 species